rnacentral:rRNA from 1 species
AUUGAACGCUGGCGGCAGGCCUAACACAUGCAAGUCGAGCGAGGAAGUCCUUCGGGAUGAGUAAAGCGGCGGACGGGGGAGUAACGCUGAGGAAUCUACAUAGUAGUGGGGGAUACCGUUUCGAAAGGAACGCUAAGACCGCAUACGUUCUGAGGAAGGAAGCAGGGGACCGCAAGACCGUGCGCUAUUAGAUGGGACUGCGUCGGAUUAGCGAGUUGGUGGGGUAAAGACCUACCAAGGCGUCGAUCGGUAACUGGUCUGAGAGGAUGAGCAGUCACACUGGAACUGAGACACGGCCCAGACUCCUACGGGAGGCAGCAGUGGGGAAUAUUGGACAAUGGGGGCAACCCUGAUCCAGCCAUGCCGCGUGUGUGAAGAAGGCCUUCGGGUUGUAAAGCGCUUUAAGCGGGGAGGAAGGCUCUAUGGCUAAUAUCCAUGGGGAUUGACGUUACCCGAAGAAUAAGCACCGGCAAACUUCGUGCCAGCAGCCGCCGUAA